rnacentral:tRNA from 1 species
GGUUUCGUAGCUCAGCUGGUAGAGGGCUUGCUGCGUUCAGGUAUGCUGCGUCUGUCGCUGGUUCGAAUCCAGCCGAAGCCC